CAAUAGCGUAUAUUAAAGUUGUUGCAGUUAAAAAGCUCGUAGUUGGAUUUCUGGUGGGAGCGAUCGGUCUGGCGCUUAGCGCGAGUACUUGCAUCGUCUCCGGCCAUCCUUGGGGAGAGUCUGUCUGGCAUUAAGUUGUCGGGCAGAGGAUCCUCAUCGUUUACUGUGAAAAAAUUAGAGUGUUCAAAGCAGGCUUAUGCCGUUGAAUAUAUUAGCAUGGAAUAAUAGGAUAGGACUUUGGUACUAUUUUGUUGGUUUGCGCACCAAAGUAAUGAUUAAUAGGGACAGUUGGGGGUAUUCGUAUUCCGCUGUCAGAGGUGAAAUUCUUGGAUUUACGGAAGACGAACUACUGCGAAAGCAUUUACCAAGGAUGUUUNCAUUAA
rnacentral:rRNA from 1 species